AUUGAACGCUGGCGGCAGGCUUAACACAUGCAAGUCGAGCGGAGCGAGGGUGCUUGCACCUUAGCUUAGCGGCGGACGGGUGAGUAAUGCUUAGGAAUCUGCCUAUUAGUGGGGGACAACAUUCCGAAAGGAAUGCUAAUACCGCAUACGCCCUACGGGGGAAAGCAGGGGAUCUUCGGACCUUGCGCUACUAGAUGAGCCUAAGUCGGGUUAGCUAGUUGGUGGGGUAAAGGCCUACCAAGGCGACGAUCUGUAGCGGGUCUGAGAGGAUGUUCCGCCACACUGGGACUGAGACACGGCCCAGACUCCUACGGGAGGCAGCAGUGGGGAAUAUUGGACAAUGGGCGGAAGCCUGAUCCAGCCAUGCCGCGUGUGUGAAGAAGGCCUUUUGGUUGUAAAGCACUUUAAGCGAGGAGGAGGCUACUUAGAUUAAUACUCUGGGAUAGUGGACGUUACUCGCAGAAUAAGCACCGGCUAACUCUGUGCCAGCAGCCGCCGUAA
rnacentral:rRNA from 1 species